GUGACCCCAGGAUGGGCGAGGCCACCCGCCGAGUUUAAGCAUAUCAAUAAGCGGAGGAGAAGAAACUUACGAGGAUUCCCCUAGUAACGGCGAGCGAACCGGGAUAGGCCCAGCAUUGGAAUCGGGCUGCCAUGUAGCAGCUUGAAUUGUAGUCUGGAGAAGCGUCCUCAGCGACGGACCGGGCCCAAGUACCCUGGAAA
rnacentral:rRNA from 1 species